GACGUAGGGGGCGAGCGUUGUCCGGAUUUAUUGGGCGUAAAGCGUGCGUAGGCGGCUGCGCAAGUCGGGUGUGAAACCCCGGGGCUCAACCCCGGAACUGCAUCCGAUACUGCGUGGCUAGAGGUAGGUAGGGGAGAUCGGAAUUCCUGGUGUAGCGGUGAAAUGCGCAGAUAUCAGGAGGAACACCAAUGGCGAAGGCAGAUCUCUGGGCCGUAACUGACGCUGAGGAGCGAAAGCAUGGGGAGCGAACAGG
rnacentral:rRNA from 1 species